GACUAACGCUGGCGGCGUGCCUAAUACAGGCAAGUCGAGCGAAGUUUUUCUGGUGCUUGCACUAGAAACACUUAGCGGCGAACGGGUGAGUAACACGUAAAGAACCUGCCUCAUAGACUGGGACAACUAUUGGAAACGAUAGCUGAUACCGGAUAACAGUAUUUCUCGCAUGAGAGAUAUUUAAAAGUUUGUUAUGCUAACACUAUGAGAUGGCUUUGCGGUGCAUUAGCUAGUUGGUGGGGUAAAGGCCCACCAAGGCGACGAUGCAUAGCCGACCUGAGAGGGGGAUCGGCCACACUGGGACUGAGACCCGGCCCAGACUCCUACGGGAGGCAGCAGUAGGGAAUCUUCCGCAAUGGGCGAAAGCCUGACGGAGAAACGCCGCGUGAGUGAAGAAGGAUUUCGGUUCGUCAAGCUCUGUUGUUAGGGAAGAAUGGAUAUGUAGUAACUAUCCCUGUAAGAGACGGUACCUAACCAGACAGCCAAGGCUAACUACGUG
rnacentral:rRNA from 1 species